rnacentral:rRNA from 1 species
AAUAGAUACCCUGGUAGUCCACGCCGUAAACGAUGAGUGCUAAGUGUUAGAGGGUUUCCGCCCUUUAGUGCUGAAGUUAACGCAUUAAGCACUCCGCCUGGGGAGUACGGCCGCAAGGCUGAAACUCAAAGGAAUUGACGGGGGCCCGCACAAGCGGUGGAGCAUGUGGUUUAAUUCGAAGCAACGCGAAGAACCUUACCAGGUCUUGACAUCCUCUGACAACCCUAGAGAUAGGGCUUCUCCUUCGGGAGCAGAGUGACAGGUGGUGCAUGGUUGUCGUCAGCUCGUGUCGUGAGAUGUUGGGUUAAGUCCCGCAACGAGCGCAACCCUUGAUCUUAGUUGCCAUCAUUAAGUUGGGCACUCUAAGGUGACUGCCGGUGACAAACCGGNGGAAGGUGGGGAUGACGUCAAGUCAUCAUGCCCCUUAUGACCUGGGCUACACACGUGCUACAAUGGACGGUACAAAGAGCUGCAAGACCGCGAGGUGGAGCUAAUCUCAUAAAACCGUUNUCAGUUCGGA